rnacentral:rRNA from 1 species
GAUGAACGCUGGCGGCGUGCCUAAUACAUGCAAGUCGAGCGAACGGACGAGAAGCUUGCUUCUCUGAUGUUAGCGGCGGACGGGUGAGUAACACUUGGAUAACCUACCUAUAAGACUGGGAUAACUUCGGGAAACCGGAGCUAAUACCGGAUAAUAUUUUGAACCGCAUGGUUCAAAAGUGAAAGACGGUCUUGCUGUCACUUAUAGGUGGAUCCGCGCUGCAUUAGCUAGUUGGUAAGGUAACGGCUUACCAAGGCAACGAUGCAUAGCCGACCUGAGAGGGUGAUCGGCCACACUGGAACUGAGACACGGUCCAGACUCCUACGGGAGGCAGCAGUAGGGAAUCUUCCGCAAUGGGCGAAAGCCUGACGGAGCAACGCCGCGUGAGUGAUGAAGGUCUUCGGAUCGUAAAACUCUGUUAUUAGGGAAGAACAUAUGUGUAAGUAACUGUGCACAUCUUGACGGUACCUAAUCAGAAAGCCACGGCUAACUACGUG